rnacentral:rRNA from 1 species
AGAUUGAACGCUGGCGGCAGGCCUAACACAUGCAAGUCGAGCGGCAGCACGGGUACUUGUACCUGGUGGCGAGCGGCGGACGGGUGAGUAAUGCCUAGGAAUCUGCCUGGUAGUGGGGGAUAACGCUCGGAAACGGACGCUAAUACCGCAUACGUCCUACGGGAGAAAGCAGGGGACCUUCGGGCCUUGCGCUAUCAGAUGAGCCUAGGUCGGAUUAGCUAGUUGGUGAGGUAAUGGCUCACCAAGGCGACGAUCCGUAACUGGUCUGAGAGGAUGAUCAGUCACACUAGGAACUGAGACACGGUCCAGACUCCGUACGGGACGGCAGCAGGUAGGGAAUAGUUGGAACAAGUGGGACGAAAGCC